rnacentral:lncRNA from 1 species
AAUUCUAAUAGCGUUUUCAGUUCGGGUCUGCAUCAACUUAGGUUAGAAAAUGCUUCGGUAUUGGUUGACGUUAUACGCUCUAUUAAUAGGAGAGCAUCGAAACAUCACUACUUUAACCUAGGUUAGUGCAAACUCGAUCGGGCCGAAAACGCUAUAACUUUCUGUUUUUUUUUUCUAAUUUUCUGCUUAGUGAACUCUGGAGGUAGAGGUUGUCCCAUCCGCCCUCCUCCCUGACCCUGAAUCCGCCACUUGGUGUUGUUAUUGCACAUUAGUUUAGUUGGGCAGUCUUCGUUUUAUACUGCAUUCUUUAUCGAAUGAAUCAGAUAUUUAAUAGUGGCUGGUUUAGCUUGGAACUCAACAAUGGAAAUAAAUUUUGGACCUAAUAAUAAUUACAACAUUUUCGAGUUGUCUGCAUCAGUUAGAUGUAUCAUGAAGUUAUUAGAUAUACAUAUGUUUCAAGACUCGGAAUAUAAAAUUGGCAAUGUGAUACAUGGAGUUAGGACAUACGAACACAAUAGUACCAACAUUAAGUAAACAUUCAAAAUUAUAAACAUGGUUUAUACUUGUAAACAAUAUAAAAAAGGAGCAUAAAAACGCAAGUUGUUAUUAAAAUGUCCAGUGUGCACGAGUCAUAAGCAUGUAGAGAAUUAACUGAAAGAGUAGGCGGAAAGCAUAACAUAAAACUACUCUGGAAACAAGGGAAUAAUUUGUCAAAUGCAGAAUAGACAACUACUCAUUCGUCUAUUUUGACUGUUAGUGCGAAUAAGAAAAACAAAUAUCAUGAAGGCAUAAACAAGAAAUAUAAAAAUAAUGAUACAGUAAUUAUAUCAGCAAAUGUCUGAAAUUGCGACUAAUGAUAAAGAGAUUAGUAGAAAAUUGUACAAUGUUUUAAUGAAAGAGAAAGAGAGAGAGAGGAUGUCUUUAUUCAAUCAAAACAAAUUUUUGAUGUCGAUUUUAAUCUGACUAAAAUUAUUUUUUAUAUUAAAUUCUUUACAGAUCACAAGCAAAAAAGGGAGCAACGUGGACAUGUUCAAAAACAGUUUAGAAAAUUUAAAAUUAACUAAAAUAGAUGAAGUGAAAAACGUUAUGAACUACAAUAGAAAAUAUUAGCAAAGCAACAAAAAAUGAGAUAAUCAUAUGAAAACUUUGUAAAAGAAACGAGCAAUCCAUUAAGGCCAAUAAAUUACGAGAAGAUUGCAAUAAUA